AUAAUGCCAAUUGACUUCCGUUAUUGACAAACACAAUGUUGGCAACCAUGACUUGUAGAUAAUUAAAAUUAGAUGUGAUUGCUGUGAUAUAAUAUGGAAUUGAAAUAUCAUUAGAUUUUGAUUGGGAUUGAGAUAUUUUCUUGGAAGGUUGUAAAAUUUUAAGAAUGUCUCCUGUUUCUUGUAUAUCCCAAUCAGACCAUGUAUAUUCUUCUUCGAUAAUUGAAGAUGUAAUCUCUUUUUUAUCUUCACCACCGUCUGGAGAUGGCCUUUCAGUUGCAGCACCUAGGAUGGGAACUAUAUCGGCUAAUGCUUUUAAUGUUGCAGAAACAAGAUGAUCAUUUGUAUCUUUAAUUCCAACAAGUAAUUCAGGAAGUAUUUGAGAUUUUAAUUCAUCAUCUUGGAAUGUGUAAACAAAUGAGUUAAAAUGUGAUAAAAGCACUAAACGUAUUGAUACAUCUCGUAUACAAAACAUCUGCAACAAUUUGGGCACCAAAUAGACUUUAAAUGUAGAAAUCGAAAAUAAGUUACUACUUGUCUUGUCAUUUCCAUCUAUAAAUAAAAUAUAUGGAAUCUUUUGAAUUA